rnacentral:tRNA from 1 species
AYUUAAAUAAUUUAAUUAAAAUACUGGUCUUGUAAACCAGAAAUGAAGUAUUUCUUUAAGUU